UUGGAAGCUUGCUUCCGAUAGGCGUCGACCGGCGCACGGGUGAGUAACGCGUAUCCAACCUGCCCACCACUUGGAGAUAACCUUGCGAAAGUAAGACUAAUACCCAAUGAUAUCUCUAGAAGACAUCUGAAGGAGAUUAAAGAUUUAUCGGUGAUGGAUGGGGAUGCGUCUGAUUAGCUUGUCGGCGGGGUAACGGCCCACCAAAGCGACGAUCAGUAGCCGGCCUGAGAGGGUGAACGGCCACAUUGGGACUGAGACACGGCCCAAACUCC
rnacentral:rRNA from 1 species